rnacentral:rRNA from 1 species
GACGAACGCUGGCGGCGUGCCUAAUACAUGCAAGUUGAGCGAUGAAGAUUGGUGCUUGCACCAAUUUGAAGAGCAGCGAACGUGUGAGUAACGCGUGUGGACUCUGCUUUUGAGCGGGGGACAACAUGUGGAAACGAAUGCUAAUACCGCAUAACAACUUUAAACAUAAGUUUUAAGUUUGAAAGAUGCAAUUGCAUCACUGAAAGAUGAUCCCGCGUUGUAUUAGCUAGUUGGUGAGGUAAAGGCUCACCAAGGCGGUGAUACAUAGCCGACCUGAGAGGGUGAUUGGCCACACUGAGAGUGAGACACGCCCCAAACUGCCUGGGAAGGCAGCAGUAGUGCAACUUCGGCAAGCAGCGAGAGUCUGUGCGAGCAACGCCGCGUCAGUAAAGAGCGUUGUCGCGUCGGAAAACACUGUUGGUAGGGAAGAAACUUGGUGCGCGUGGAAAGCUGAUCGAGUGACGGUAACUACUCAGAAAGGAACGGCUAACUACGUG